GUCAGCUCGUGUUGUGAAAUGUUGGGUUAAGUCCCGCAACGAGCGCAACCCUUAUCCUUUGUUGCCAGCGAUUAGGUCGGGAACUCAAAGGAGACUGCCAGUGAUAAACUGGAGGAAGGUGGGGAUGACGUCAAGUCAUCAUGGCCCUUACGACCAGGGCUACACACGUGCUACAAUGGCGCAUACAAAGAGAAGCGACCUCGCGAGAGCAAGCGGACCUCAUAAAGUGCGUCGUAGUCCGGAUUGGAGUCUGCAACUCGACUCCAUGAAGUCGGAAUCGCUAGUAAUCGUGGAUCAGAAUGCCACGGUGAAUACGUUCCCGGGCCUUGUACACACCGCCCGUCACACCAUGGGAGUGGGUUGCAAAAGAAGUAGGUAGCUUAACCUUCGGGAGGGCGCUUACCACUUUGUGAUUCAUGACUGGGGUGAAGUCGUAACAAGGUAACCGUAGGGGAACCUGCGGUUGGAUCACCUCCUUACCUUAAAGAA
rnacentral:rRNA from 1 species